AUUCCAACCCCUUCCCAGCAAUACUUACCGCUUGCUCAGCUUUCUGAUCUCAGCAGCAAAAAGAGCCAGAACUUUUGGGGGAGGAUCCAUGCCGAUGCCAAGUUUCCCUGUCAUCAUGGCUAAGGGAGGGAGACAAGUGAGGUCAUUCUGCUUAGUAUAAAGCAUGCAGAACAUGCUGGGUGACCUUCAGCAAAUCAGUCUUCCUCUCUGGGCUUCAGGAGACUCAUCCACUAGAGGAGGAGCUAGAAUGGCUUCUCUGCCAGGUCCCUUCAGUUCAGCCAAAUGUGAGAAAAACCACCAGAGAAGGAAGAGUGAUGAAGAUGUCCCAGGCAAGAGAGAGAGGGCUUCGCAGAUCCGAGCCCCUGGACCAAGUUUGGUGUGACUGGGGACACUGGGUGAGAGAGAACACAUGGGAGAGGAGGGCAGAAAGAUAGGUAGUGCCUGCAGGGCCUGGGUGCAAAGGAAAGGAGUCUGGUUUUUAAUCCUGCAGGCAACAAAGAGUCUUAAAGGGUUUUUAACAGGAGAAUGAACACCAUCGGGUUUGCAGUGGAGCAUAGUCGUCUUCUGUAUGGGCAGGACGGAUCAGAGGGGACAAAGGCAGAGACAGAGAUGACUGUGCAGUUGUUCAGGCAAGACAUGCUGGGUUAGGGAGGCGAGCAGAGAAAACAGUGGAAGAGAAACAAAUCUGAGAGUGAUGAGCAGACAUGAGGGUCAAGGAGGCGCCAAGGGGAACUGGUGAAGUCCAAGGCUCUGGCUUGCACAACAGCUGCAUGGUAGUGAAACCCACUGGGAUGGGAAGAGCAGAAGAGAAGGACUGGAGAGGAAGAUGAUGGUGAACGCUAAUCUGGACCUGUUGAGUCUAAGACGUCCAUGGGACUUCCAAGUGGAGGAGUCUAAGAAUGAACUGAGAAUAUGGGCCAGGAGUUCAGAGGAGCAAACUGGGCUGAGGACAUAAAUUAGGGCAACAUGAGCCAUCACUGAGGGGUCAUGUACAAGGAGAGAAGCCAAGGGGACCCAGGAUGCACCUUUGGGACACCCCAGUAAUUUAAGGAACCAACAGAGAAAGAUAAGUCAGCAAAGAAGCCUGAGAAAGAGUGUGUCUGUCCAAAGUGGAAUCAGGACGGCCAAAGGGAGGUGAAGAGAUGUCAGCAGUCUGCUGACUCAAGGGACAAGCAGCUGCUUCCUCCUGCUCCCUCCUCCUGAGCUUAUAGAUGGGAAAUGAAGCCAGAGAAGACCAGUGACCAGGCUGUGACCAGAUUAGAUCCCAAGUCCCUUGCCUCCUAGCCCACAGUGCCCUUCCCAAAAUGACACACAGCUUCAUAAGAGCAAACAAGGACUUCCCUGGUGUCCAAUGUCUAAGAUUCUGCACUCCCAGUGCAGGGGGCCCAGGGUCAAUCCCUGUUCAGAGAACUAGAUCCUACAUGCAUGCUGCAACCAAGAGUUUGCAUACAGCAACUAAGGACCCCACAUCCUGCCAUGAAGAUCGAAGAUCCUAUGUGUCACAAC
ensembl:lncRNA